rnacentral:lncRNA from 1 species
UCGACCUUACCCUGGCCUAGAUGACACCCGUGAGUGGGGAGGGAAUGAUCAUUAUUACAGGUACAGUUGGUGACUUGUUGGUGACUUGUUGGUGACUUGUGAUCCUGUUGGUGACUAUUGGUUCAGAAGUUUGGGGUCUCAGAUGACUUUGGGUUUCAGAUGAAUUUGUGGUUCCGAGUUCAAGCCGAAGCUUUGAUCCUGUGUUCUGAGAGACACAGCCAACCAGUCGUGUCUGCAUCAUUUGCAUCAUAGCAUAUUUAUUUUCAAAAAAAAA